UACAGAGGGUGCGAGCGUUAAUCGGAAUUACUGGGCGUAAAGCGCGCGUAGGCGGCUUUGCAAGUCGGGUGUGAAAUCCCCAGGCCUAACCUGGGAACUGCAUUCGAGACUGCAUGGCUAGAGUAUCGGAGAGGGAAGUGGAAUUUCAGGUGUAGCGGUGAAAUGCGUAGAUAUCUGGAGGAACACCGGUGGCGAAGGCGCAUCCUGGACCGGCAUUGACGCUGCGGAGCGAAAGCCAGGGGAGCAAAGCGGG
rnacentral:rRNA from 1 species